rnacentral:rRNA from 1 species
UACGUAGGUGACAAGCGUUGUCCGGAUUUACUGGGCGUAAAGAGCGCGCAGGCGGUCGUUCAAGUCGCGUGUGAAAGCCCCCGGCUCAACUGGGGAGGGUCACGCGAUACUGAUCGACUCGAAGGCAGGAGAGGGUAGUGGAAUUCCCGGUGUAGUGGUGAAAUGCGUAGAUAUCGGGAGGAACACCAGUGGCGAAGGCGGCAUCCUGGACCGGCACUGACGCUGAUGAGCGAAAGCCAGGGGAGCAAACGGG